ensembl:lncRNA
AGAGGUCAAAGAGGAAAGAGAGAGAGAGAGAGAGAGAGGUCAAAGAGGAAAAGAGAGAGAGGUCAAAGAGGAAAAGAGAGAGGUCAAAGAGGAAAAGAGAGAGAGGUCAGAGAGAGAGAGAGAGAGAGAGAGAGAGAGAGAGAGAGAGAGAGAGAGAGAGGUCAAAGAGGAAGAGAAGAGAGAGAGGUCAAAGAGGAAGAGAAGAGAGAGAGGUCAAAGAGGAAGAGAAGAGAGGAGGGAGAUGGAGAGAGAGAAGACAUCAGAUUUCACACAUGACUAUUAGAUAAGUGCAUCUUUCUCUCCAAAUCCUCAUUAUAGCAUUAUGUUGUGAGCUGGAGUUAAAUCCUCAUUAUAGCAUUACGUUGUGAG